rnacentral:lncRNA from 1 species
GGGUGUCGAUCGUAGUGGUACAGUCCAGACAAACACGUGAGGAAGCAUUUGGGUGAUUUUGAGCGGCGGCUUCGUGAAAUGAUAAACAAACUUGUGGAUUUAGGAACCGCCCAUCUAUUCAUGCGGAUGCAGGAGAAAAACAGGAUGAACAAGAAAGAAAUGCCAGCAAAGAAAACGUUCUGGAUUCCAACCCAGAAAAUGAAGGACUGAGAGAACACCCGUUAACGGAAUGAGCCAUCUCGUAAGUGUUUAAGUUGUUCUUUUGUUGUAUGUAUGUUUGUGUGUGUGUAUAUAUAUAUAUAUUAAAUAUAUAAAUUAUAUACAAUUAGGACAUGGACAGAG